rnacentral:lncRNA from 1 species
CACACACAACACUCUCACCCAUCACACACAGCACUCUCUCACACAUCAUACACAGCACUCUCACACACAUCAUACACAGCACUCUCACACACAGCACUCUCACACACAUCAUACACAGCACUCUCACACUCAGCACUCUCACACUCAGCACUCUCACACACAUCAUACACAGCACUCACACCCAUCACACACAGCACUCUCUCACCCAUCACACACAACACUCUCACCCAUCACACACAGCACU